GUGAUGUCAUUCAUAUGAACGUGAUUGACUUUUCUCGUUGUCGGACGCGUUAUCAUGAAACUUUCACUGUUACUGAACCUGUGACUUUUGUGGAAUGUGGUAGACAUGAUUGGUUUUCAUGUGUAUUACAGCUGCAGGCAGUUCGACAGGGUCAAGCGCAAGUGAAGGACCAGGUGCUGCUGAUCAAGUCCCAUCCAUCCAUGAAACGGCAUCAAACAAUGAUCUUCCAGAACAGUGCUUUCUUCAUCCA